UCAUAUCUCACCGGACAGAAUCAAUCUGAACGGCGGCUCUCCGGCUGGUAUACUGUUAUAUAUCGUUUAGCCUGAGUAGGAAUGGAAAAAAUGAACUGCGGCAAAAAGCGAUCGAGCAGCUCUCUAUCUUCCGACUCGUCGCAGAAUAGCUCUCGCUCGAUUUUUGUCAUCUCUUUCUUGUGUGUACACUACAUGUGUGUGUGUGUGUGUGUGUGUGUGUGUGUGUAGAUGAGCUACUGCCUCUGCUGUUUUACCUGCAGCACGCACGAGAGGAGGUCGUGAAUUAAAAAGCGCAUGAAGAAACUGACUGGGAAAAAAGUCUUGCUUAGAAAGGAAUUCUUCAGUCGACCUGCGACACGACAGCCGCGAGCAGUGAGAUUCAUGCGUACGCUCCCCUGCGCGUUACGUCACGCUUGGACAGCGGCGAGAUUAAGAACUUUCCGUUCUCUAUUGCGAUGCACUGGAGCUUCAAAUUCAAGAGAUUGCUCGCACAGUCCGCGACCAUUGUGUGGGAGAGAAAUUGAAUAGGAUUCGAAUCGAAAAAUAUUAUUUCCACGAAAUAUUCGAGCGAAAAAGUAAAAGCAAACAUUCGCCUCGUUCUCCAAAAUGGCGCAGUAAUUUCAUUGUCUGUUGCUCGCAAGCGAGGUCAUCGCACACUCGCGAUACACACAAGCAAGCUGAUCGGGAAGAUUCGUAUAUAAGGAGAUCGAGUUGGACAGCAAACUGAAGGAUAUCUACGAGUACUCUGGUAAAAUCAACUACGCCUUUCAUUUGUUUCUAUUGUACAGCAAUACUUCAAUCAGACAUGAAAAUGAGACUAUACGAAAAUUCUACGAUGUGCUGACCGAUCUCGGCGAUAGUGGAAUGCGUGCGCACCUGUCAGAGUGAACAUUUGAGAUAUAAAAGGGAGCAAUCUUCAUUGCAAUUGAUCAAUCAUCUCUACAAUACUAUCAUACUUGCCGAAGUGAAGGCAGUGAUCAUAAGCCAUUAUGCAUACAAUUUAUACAGACUACCUAAUGACACGAUUUCAUUUAGAACGGAAUUAAAUUAAAGAGUACAUUGUCGACUCUUGGGAAAGAAUAACUUUGCUAAUACCAAAGUUUAAGAGUUACAUGGAUGUGGCCGACCGUGACAUAUGGAGAUGUGACCCUCAUCAGCACAUAAAAGGUUCAACCCAUAUCGAGCUAUCUACAAUCUUUAAUAAAGUAGCUAGAAAAGAAGCUAAGUUUGGAUAUGUAAAGAAUAGUGAUGGUUGAAUUCGGCCAUCAAUGGGCAAAGGUACUUGUGAAGAUCGCACAAAAGGCUAUGAGUAAUCAGCGCGCUAUGGUAUUGUUCAAGAUUGCUGGAAUUCAAAUGAUAAAAACGUAGAAGUUUGCAUGGCGGAAUCCGGUAGUAAUCGUAGAUAUAAGUAUGUCGAAUUAAAGGACACUACAAAAUUAUAUGGUACAAAAAUUUCCUGCUACAAUCUUAAACAUUUAAAAGGAACGAAAUUAGGAUCUGAGUGGGAGGAAUUCGAUGUUUGCUGGUGUUCCUGCGAGGAAGACAAAAUAGACUCUACACGUUAUUUUAGUUUGAGACCUAUGUUACUUCAAAUAUUGGUAAAAAUAAAGUGAUAACUGGGGUGAAAUUUGUGGAAAAAAAACAUGUUCAUCCAUUUACAAAUUCAGCAAGGUUGCCUUUAUGAAUAUGGUAACAUUGCCCAAGAAAGUGUCGAUUGAAAGCCACUCAAGUCAGUCAAUCCUUUUGACAAAGCAUCAGUCGAUGGUAAGGGCUACCACAAGAUAACUUCCGACGCUAGAAGAGUCAAUAUAGAGAGUCUGGAAGCUCCUGCCAACUGUGCACUCACGGGCUUAAAAUUUAUGUUUGAAGAGGGCGCCAUGAAACUUUCGAUUUACUAUAACACACCGACCGACUUUAGGUCCGGCAAAUUAGCCAAAGAACAAGUAAAAUGGCAUACGAUUCGGAUUCCAAGCGGCUACAAAGAAAGUAGACGCCAAAUAAAGUUCAGAAAUGAUCCGCCUUUUUAUCGAUUAAACGUACCAAUGGUCAACGAGCAAAAAGCCUGGAUCUACUUUACUACAAGCUCACUUGAAUCGGACCUCGGCAGCAUUCAUCGACAGCCAGGAGAUUACUUCGACACCUGUUGUCUUACUCUUGAGUACAGGUCUUGUCUAGAAGGGUGCAAACUACUCAUCAGGCUUUAUCACGCUAAAACUUCAGAUGUACAACUACGCAGAACACCUCCAAAAUGGAGGGGACCGUAAUACACUGGACAGAUUUCUGCAGAACUAUGAUAAAAUGCUUUCGAAUAAAAAUAAACGUCUUGAUAAAGGUAACAAAUCUGGCUAAAAUGUAUGGAGCAUCAUACCUCCGAUAAUAGUUUUAUAAUAAUUAUUUUAACAAAUGAAAGUUGAUCGAACAAAUUUGAUUUGUUUUUAGUGAAAUAAUCACUUACAUUAUAUUUCUUAAGUUUUUGUAUCAGAUGUAUCAAUAAAAAUAAGCAUAACAAUGAUAGAGCGAUAA
rnacentral:lncRNA from 1 species